rnacentral:rRNA from 1 species
AGGACGAACGCUGGCGGCGUGCUUAACACAUGCAAGUCGAACGGUAAGGCCCCUUCGGGGGUACACGAGUGGCGAACGGGUGAGUAACACGUGAGCAACCUGCCCUUGACUCUGGAAUAACAGCUGGAAACAGCUGCUAAUACCGGAUAUGACCUCAAACGACAUCGUCUGAGGUGGAAAGCUCCGGCGGUCAAGGAUGGGCUCGCGGCCUAUCAGCUAGUUGGUGAGGUAACGGCUCACCAAGGCUUCGACGGGUA